AGGACGAACGCUGGCGGCGUGCUUAACACAUGCAAGUCGAGCGGAAAGGCCCUUCGGGGUACUCGAGCGGCGAACGGGUGAGUAACACGUGAGUAAUCUGCCCCUAGCUCUGGGAUAGCUCCGGGAAACCGGGAUUAAUACCAGAUAUGACCACUUUAGACAUCUGCUGUGGUGGAAAGAAUUUCGGCUAGGGAUGAGCUCGCGGCCUAUCAGCUUGUUGGUGGGGUAAUGGCCUACCAAGGCGACGACGGGUAGCCGGCCUGAGAGGGCGACCGGCCACACUGGGACUGAGACACGGCCCAGACUCCUACGGGAGGCAGCAGUGGGGAAUAUUGCGCAAUGGGCGAAAGCCUGACGCAGCGACGCCGCGUGGGGGAUGAAGGCCUUCGGGUUGUAAACCCCUUUCAGCAGGGACGAAGCGAAAGUGACGGUACCUGCAGAAGAAGCGCCGGCUAACUACGCGCCAGCAGCCGC
rnacentral:rRNA from 1 species